GACGAACGCUGGCGGCGUGCUUAACACAUGCAAGUCGAACGGGGCGAAGUGAUAGCUUGCUAUUAUGGAGCCUAGUGGCAAACGGGUGAGUAACGCGUAGGCAACCUGCCCUUCAGAUGGGGACAACACCUCGAAAGGGGUGCUAAUACCGAAUGUGACAGCAAUCUCGCAUGAGGAUGCUGUGAAAGAUGGCCUCUAUUUAUAAGCUAUCGCUAGAGGAUGGGCCUGCGUCUGAUUAGCUAGUUGGUGGGGUAACGGCCUACCAAGGCGAUGAUCAGUAGCCGGUCUGAGAGGAUGAACGGCCACAUUGGGACUGAGACACGGCCCAG
rnacentral:rRNA from 1 species